AUUGAACGCUGGCGGCAGGCCUAACACAUGCAAGUCGAACGAGUGGCGGACGGGUGAGUAAUGUCUGGGAAACUGCCCGAUGGAGGGGGGUAACUACUGGAAACGGUAGCUAAUACCGCAUACCAUCGGAUGUGCCCAGAUGGGAUUAGCUAGUAGGUGGGGUAACGGCUCACCUAGGCGACGAUCCCUAGCUGGUCUGAGAGGAUGACCGGCCACACGUGAACUGAGGCACGGGCCAAGAGUCGACGGGGGGCAGCAGGGGGGAAUAUUGCACAAGGGGCGCAAGCCUGAUGGAGCCAUGCCGCGUGUAUGAAGAAGGGCUUCGGGUUGUAAAGUACUUUCAGGGAGGAGGCGUUACUCGCAGAAGAAGCACCGGCUAACUCCGUGCCAGCAGCCGCGGUAAUAC
rnacentral:rRNA from 1 species